rnacentral:rRNA from 1 species
GAUGAACGCUGGCGGCGUGCCUAAUACAUGCAAGUAGAACGCUGAAGGAAGGAGCUUGCUCUUUCCGGAUGAGUUGCGAACGGGUGAGUAACGCGUAGGUAACCUGCCUGGUAGCGGGGGAUAACUAUUGGAAACGAUAGCUAAUACCGCAUAACAGUAGAUGUUGCAUGAUAUCUACUUAAAAGGUGCAAUUGCACCACUACCAGAUGGACCUGCGUUGUAUUAGCUAGUUGGUGAGGUAACGGCUCACCAAGGCGACGAUACAUAGCCGACCUGAGAGGGUGAUCGGCCACACUGGGACUGAGACACGGCCCAGACUCCUACGGGAGGCAGCAGUAGGGAAUCUUCGGCAAUGGACGGAAGUCUGACCGAGCAACGCCGCGUGAGUGAAGAAGGUUUUCGGAUCGUAAAGCUCUGUUGUAAGAGAAGAACAAGUGUGAGAGUGGAAAGUUCACACUGUGACGGUAUCUUACCAGAAAGGGACGGCUAACUACGUG